UACGUAGGGACCGAGCGUUGUCCGGAUUCAUUGGGCGUAAAGAGCUCGUAGGCGGUCUGUCGCGUCUGCUGUGAAAACUCGGGGCUUAACCCCGGGCCUGCAGUGGGUACGGGCAGACUAGAGUGCGGUAGGGGGAGACUGGAAUUCCUGGUGUAGCGGUGAAAUGCGCAGAUAUCAGGAGGAACACCGGUGGCGAAGGCGGGUCUCUGGGCCGUAACUGACGCUGAGGAGCGAAAGCGUGGGGAGCGAACAGG
rnacentral:rRNA from 1 species